UACGGGGGGGGCAAGCGUUGUUCGGAAUUACUGGGCGUAAAGGGCGCGUAGGCGGCCCGCUAAGUCGAACGUGAAAUCCCCAGGCUCAACCUGGGAACUGCGUCCGAUACUGGCAGGCUUGAAUCCGGGAGAGGGAUGUGGAAUUCCAGGUGUAGCGGUGAAAUGCGUAGAUAUCUGGAGGAACACCGGUGGCGAAGGCGGCAGCCUGGACCGGCAUUGACGCUGAGGCGCGAAAGCCAGGGGAGCGAACGGG
rnacentral:rRNA from 1 species